AUGCCCCACUUGCCAAACAAGGAAAUGAAGUUCAUAGUAAAUGUAGUCAACACUACAGAUUUCUAUGUUGCUUUCAAUGUAUAUUUCAUCCGCAGGAAUGCAGCACAGGACAAGAGACCUGCAUCGGUAGGUACAGGAUCGAAUGUAAUCCUGCAACCACGAUCCACCAAUAGACAAAUACUACAUUGGAUAAUUGAUGAGACGGAGGAGCCCGUAGAAGAUUACUUUGUGUGGAGCCGUGUUGUGACUGAAGGUGUGGAAAGCAGAGACAUCAUUCGUUACAUGGUUGAGGAAGAGAGUAAGAAACUGCCCUUUGUUGUUAAUAAGGCAAGCCCGGCAUGUACCUCAAACGAGCUGAUCCAGUUUGAGCCGCCUGAGCUCAGCCUCCCCUUGAUGAUGAUGCCAAACAAGCCCUUGGCGUUUUCAGUUAAUAUACUCAACAGUACAGACUACUAUGUUGGUUUUGGUGGAUAUAACCUGAAAACAAAUGUGGCCUGCUACUCCAUAAAACCUGCGGGUGGAGUUAUGCCACCACGGUCCACUCAAAGACUGGUUGUAAAAAGGGUACCAAAGAAAAAGGAGGAGCUGCUUAGUGAGUGCCAAGAUGAUAAGUUCCUCGUAUGGAGCUGCUUAGUGAGUGAAGGUGCCAAAGCCAGCGACCUCAAUGGUUGUGCUAAAUACACAGUGGGUAGGGAGUUGCCAAUUGUUUGUACUAACAAGACAAGCAACUUAUGCACCUCAGACGAGUUGAUCCAGUUUGAUCCUCCACAGCUCCCGUUCACCUUCCUUCCCAACAUGAGGGUGUCCAUGUUGCGCUUGCUUAAAAUAGUCAAUGUUACAGAUCACAUCGUCGGUUUCAGUACAUGGUCUCAUGAAGCCAAUUCUGCGUCAUACACAAUGGAACCGCGUGCAGGGAUCCUGCCACCACAGUCCACACAAGCAAUCAAGGUAAGAAGGACCCCAAAGAAAAAUGAAACGGAAGAUAUCCAGUGCAAAGACAAGAUUUUUGUGUGGAAUGGAAUUUUGACUGAAGGUGUCCAAGUUAGGGAUGUCUGUACAUACUGGAAGAACGAAGAUAAAGAGUUGCCCAUUGUUCUAACAAAGCCUGGAGAAAGCAGUUCAAGGUAG
rnacentral:rRNA from 1 species